rnacentral:rRNA from 1 species
AUACGUAGGGUGCAAGCGUUAAUCGGAAUUACUGGGCGUAAAGCGUGCGCAGGCGGUUUUGUAAGACAGAGGUGAAAUCCCCGGGCUCAACCCGGGAACUGCCAUUGUGACUGCAAGGCUGGAGUGCGGCAGAGGGGGAUGGAAUUCCGCGUGUAGCAGUGAAAUGCGUAGAUAUGCGGAGGAACACCGAUGGCGAAGGCAAUCCCCUGGGCCUGCACUGACGCUCAUGCACGAAAGCGUGGGGAGCAAACAGGAUUAGAUACCCUGGUAGUCCACGCCCUAAACGAUGUCUACUGGUUGUUGGGGAUUUAUUUUCUCAGUAACGAAGCUAACGCGUGAAGUUGACCGCCUGGGGAGUACGGCCGCAAGGUUAAAACUCAAAUGAAUUGACGGGG